rnacentral:rRNA from 1 species
UACGAAGGGGGGCGAGCGUUGUUCGGAUUUACUGGGCGUAAAGGGCGCGCAGGCGGCGGAUCAAGUCAGACGUGAAAGCCCCGGGCUUAACCUGGGACUGCGUUUGGGACUGAUUUGCUAGAGAUCGGGAGAGGAGAGUGGAAUUCCCAGUGUAGAGGUGAAAUUCGUAGAUAUUGGGAAGAACACCGGUGGCGAAGGCGGCUCUCUGGACCGAUACUGACGCAGAGGCGCG